UUCUCCAGCCGCAGGGUGAUGCCCACACACCGCUGUCCCUUUGUCACGGGCGUUUGGAACAGGAGCCUGUGUGACCCCCAGACCUGUGCAGCUCCUCCCGAGACCUGGGCGCUGUCCCUCCAUUCCCCCUGUCCAGCCCAGCCUGUGCCAGCAGUCCCUGCCGAGGCACUCGGAGCGGAGGAGCUGCAGUCCGAGCAGCAGAAGGGUUUGAUGCCCCCGUGCUUGCGGAACUCCCAGGGCAUCUUUCAUGCAAAAUCCCCAAAAAGCUCCAAUUGAAGAACUUCGAGGUUUUUUCUUUAGUAUUCCUUAGAGUCCUGCAUCUGGGUUGUUCAUCUGGAUGAUGGAGAACUGGGAUGGGGCUGGAGCCCUGUGGCACCCUAGUAAUGACAGGUGCCAGGCUGGUGUCACCCCACUCUGUCAUCCUCUGAGACCAACCUAGGAGCCAGUUGCUCCCCAUCCCACGUGUAUCCAGCUGCAGCCUGGACAUUUUGUCCAGAAGGACUCUGGGAGAGACAGGAUCAAAAACUUUGCUGGAGUCCAAAAAGAUUCCAUCUCCUGGCUUUCCUUGAUCAGCCAGGUGGGGUACCCUGUUGUGGAAGGAAAUCAAGCUGGACAAGCAGGACUUUCACCUCAUGGAGCUGUGGCAAUGACUGUGUUGUUCUCCAGGUGUCUUCCAAUACUUCCCAGAAUCAUCUUUUCCAUGAUUUUACUGGGCACUGAAGUGAGACUGACAGGCCUGUGGGUUCCAGGGACCUCCUUCUUGCCCUUCUGGAAAAUCAGAACAGUCCCCAGU